rnacentral:lncRNA from 1 species
CCCUAUCUAAACACUGUGAAAGAUUACCUCUACUCUAGGUGAAUUGAGGCUUACAGAAACCCAAGUCAUGAAGACCAUUAUCAAACAGGAAAUUUUGAAAACCAUUACAUCCACCUGUCCGUUCCAAAGGCUCCAAAAUCGAAUUAAAAUCUCCUGCUAGAACCUAUGGUUCCCUAAUAGUUUUAGCAAGAGAAUCCAAAUACUCCCAUAACUCCUGUCGUAUUUCUGGUUGUAGGCUAGCAUACACUGUUGAACACAAAAACUUAAAGGGUCCUUAUUUGUUGCUCGCUCUCACAAGAAUCACUUGCGAAUGCAAAUUCAGAAUAUCAAUUAAGAGACUGUCACUCCAAAGAAUCCAAAUCCUACUAGAAAACCCUCUCGCUUCAAUUUUGAACGAAUUUAAGAACCCAAGUUUUGCAAUGAUUCCAUCACCCAAAUACCACUGACCUAUGUCUCAAAUAAGCACAUUACAUCAGGGCAAAACUCUCUCCUACACUCAGCCAUGAAAUUAUGAAAAAUGGGAUGCCUUUUUCUUUAGCAAUUCCAAAAAAAAGUUUUAAAUCCAUAAACCAGAUAACAAUAAAAAGCACUAACAAGCCAACAUAAGUUGUACAAGCAAACUUAACAGCUAAUAUCAUCAUCACCAAUAUAAUCAUCCAUAAUUUCCAUAGCUGAAAGCAACAUAUCUACCAUAAGAUUAGCAUCGGGUUCCUACUCAACGGCCCGCACAAUACCCUCCAUUGCCGCCGUUACGUCUACAAUGGGAUUCCCUGAACCUACUAAUUCACAAUCUGGCAGUUUCUUCCGCUGAACAUUACCAUCUCAAAAGUUUGCACAUCUGUGUUUGAACACCCAAUACUUGACUCUCUAAAGUGAAACACAUUUUUUUAUUUCCCUUUUGAAGCAUUAUAUUCUCCACUCUUAACCACCUGAACUGCCCCAUGUUUGUUUCUGUCUAAUUUCGACUGGAAAUUUACAAGCAAAAAAUUGAAACAUUUAUCCUUAACAUUUGGGACAAGCGAACCCAUUCCAGAACCAUCAUCAAAUC